rnacentral:rRNA from 1 species
CCACGGGGGCUGCAGUGGGGAAUAUUGGACAAUGGGCGCAAGCCUGAUCCAGCCAUGCCGCGUGAGUGAUGAAGGCCUUAGGGUUGUAAAGCUCUUUCAGUAGGGAAGAUAAUGACGGUACCUACAGAAGAAGCCCCGGCUAACUUCGUGCCAGCAGCCGCGGUAAUACGAAGGGGGCUAGCGUUGUUCGGAUUUACUGGGCGUAAAGCGCACGUAGGCGGAUCGUUAAGUCAGGGGUGAAAUCCUGGAGCUCAACUCCAGAACUGCCUUUGAUACUGGCGAUCUAGAGUCCGGAAGAGGUGAGUGGAACUCCUAGUGUAGAGGUGGAAUUCGUAGAUAUUAGGAAGAACACCAGUGGCGAAGGCGGCUCACUGGUCCGGUACUGACGCUGAGGUGCGAAAGCGUGGGGAGCAAACA